rnacentral:lncRNA from 1 species
UUGAUUCAGGUUUGAGGGAUGAAGGUUGAAGAUGAAGACAAAGGGUUAGUGCUUAUGGGUAGUUAGGGUUCAUGUUAUGAGGGUUAGGGUUUAUAAGAAUCUAGGUUUGGGUUAAAGUUUAGGGUUUCUAGAUAGUCAAGGUUCAUGUUAGAAGGGUUAGGGUUGACGUUUAGGGUUAGGGUUCUUUGGGUUCUUUCUAGGGUUCCUACUUCUAGGGUUAUGGUUUAUGUUUGAUAAAGGUUCUAGGUUGAACAUUCAUCGUG